UUUGCAGAGCAGUUAAUCCAUCUCCAAAAUCUGUAAUGCUCCUGGUUAUUCCGUGACUUUCACUUCAAACUUCAGUGUCUGGUUUAUGGGAGAGCUAUUAAAAAAACAGAAGGAGAGUUAUCACAAGUCUCUUACAGAACUCGUUAACUUAUGGUAAUUAAUCUAAAUAGGAUAUUUAUUUUAAUUCUAUCAUCUAAGCAAACCAAAGCAAACUUUCUCUUCCUAGAUGUGCAGCUUAAUGCUCAUUUAUGUUCAAAUAUUAUAUUUUUUAAGUUGUUAGUCACAAUUUGUGUUGCUGGGUCACCCAUUCAUUUAACAAGCAUGUAUUUGGCACUGCUUGUGUGCCUGAAUCUUAGAACUAAGAGAUGAAUAGGACUAGUUCCUAUCCUCAGAGAGUUUCUAGUCUGGUGGAGGAGAAGCUACGCAAACAAAGAUUGAGUAACAUGCAUCAAGCCUAAUGGGAGUAACAUGUACCAGGCAUAGGGAUAACAGAAGAGAAUGGCAUUAACUCAUUCUGGGAGUUCAAGGAACACUUUUUGAAGAAAGUGAUGUCUGAGCUGGAUGAAAAGGAGUAAGAUAGUGACAAUCCAUAAUAGAAACUCAUGUUUGAUAAUUUGUUACACAAAAGAUUACCAGUAAUUGAAAUAGGGUAUCUGAACGAUUUGCAUGGAGCUUUCUGUUUAGCACUUUCCUAUUUUUACCUGUUCAUUUUUUCCUCCCUCUUAUAAAAACUCCCUGAGAUACAUAAAUUGAUACUACUCUGAUUUUUCAAGUUGGAGAACUGGCUCUCAGGGUACAAUCAGUGACUAUUAGUUGAAUGAGAUAACACAACCAAUACUUAUUUUUAUUGAGUCCCUACCGCCUCUCUGUGCCUUAAUUCUUUAUUUGUAAAAUUUGCAUAAUAGCCAUGUCUCUUUCCUAAGAUUAUGGUAAGGAGAAAAUGAGAACAAUAUGUCAUAUAACAUAGACUAGCAUUGGCUCAAAAUCAGGAUUAUAUAAGCCAGUUAUUAUUCCUAGUAAUUUUCUAGAUAACAAGAAAUUGGUUUAGGGGUGAAGGGAAUCUUCUUUACCCCCUUCUUAAGGUUCAAUAAUUUGAGUCUAUAAAACAAAUUGACAAUAGACGGGUUAACAGGAAACAGGCAUACAAAAGGAUACUAGUUGUGAUAACUAGUACAGACAUGCCUCACACUGUUUUAAGCACUGAACGUCAGCAGAGCAAAGUCAGGCUUUCAUGCAGUUUAAACCGCGGGGCCAGAGUGGAGUGGCUGAGGAGGGGAGCAAAUGAAAAGAAACAAGUUGAAACACUUGCUGGAGGAGAGAAAAGCACAGAUUGCAGAGGGAUUUGUAAGCCAUGAUGAGACUACAAAAUUUAAAGAACAGAAGAGUCAGAAGGCUAUUCAGAUCAUAGUGGCUUUGGGUCAGGAUGUGUGUGUGAGGGGGUGGAGAGAAGAGGUCAAAAUCUGGAUAUAUUUUGAAGGUUUACUAGGCAGAAUUCACUAAUGGAGUAGAUAUAUGGCAUUCAAGAGAGAUUCCAGAAUUUUGGCCUAAGCAGAAAAAUAGAAGCUUCCAUUUCUUGAGAUGGGAGAAGAUUUAUAAGAAAGAAAAUUGGCUUCAACGAAUGAAAAUUUCCAUUUUAGACAUGUUAAUAAUAAAUCAGUGAAUAUAGUAUGGUAUUGCAAAAGACCAAGGAAUUAACCUGGGUUAGGAAAGAUGGAUAGAGACUUUAAAAAAAAGAAUGAAAGAAAAAUGUUAUUAUGCCUUCAAGAUCCAAAGUGAGAAGUGGGAGACAACAAGCCUCAUAAGAUCUGAAUCAGAAAGAUCACACAGGAUGUUAGUGAGAAUUAACUGGACAGAAAAAGUCAGGGUUUAGAAGGCUAGCGUGAACAGUUUGAACUCAUUUACUAGUACCUUGGCAACAGUUAAAAUUUUCAAAACAAGUUGAUUUGAGCUAAGUAUCUUAGCAUUUGCCACAUUAUACUGAAUUAUCUAUUUCUGUGUUUUGCUCUCUCACCAGACUAUAAAUUCUGCUAUGUUUUAUUCAUCUUUUUACCACUCCUGCGUAGCACGAUCCCUGGUACAUGCUUGGCACUCAGUAGUUGCUUGUGGAAGUCAACUGCAAAAAACAGUGCCUUGUGCCCAAACAAGGACCCAAACUGAAAUAAUAGGAUAAGCUCCAAUGGUUCAAAUUCAAACUAUUCCCACAUGCAAAGGCUGCAAGUUUGCUGAGACCCCAUAUCCAAGGCACAAGAUACCUGUCUUAAGAUGAUAACAAGGGGUUACACUCCCUCACAUAUCCCAAAAAUAAUUUUUAAUAUCCUGCUACUACCUCAUUUUGUCUCAUACCAGAAUUGAGAGCAACCAUUCAAUGUUUCUUUUUCUCUUACAUUUAAUUUGCUAAACUCCAAGUCAAAUUGAACUCUGGUCUGCUUGAAGAAAAUACAGUGAUGUAGUUUCUCCUCCCCUGUGCAGGCUCAUUUAUCUGUACCUUAAUUCACUCAAAGCUCAGAGGAAAAACACAUCUGUAUGGAAACAUUUGUAUGGAAUUGAUUGCUCCCCAUGUGAUUAUUCCAACAACUAUGUAACAAUGUUAGGGUGAAAAUAAUCUCUGUAGCUUGUUUUGUGUGGGCUAACACCCUAGUGAGAUGGAAAAAUAGCCUAAAAGUCUAUCUAUUUUUCCCUGAGACUUGUCUUUUCAAUAAGAGCUUAUUUAGUAUACAUUUUGCUUGCUUUUAGUCACCGAUAUGAAGAUAGAACAAAUUAUCUUUUCUACUUGAAAACACAAUUUAUUUUUAUUGUAGUAAAGCUAUCCCAAUAAAAAGUUUUUAAGAUGUGGAGAAUAGAUCUCAUUUUAGGUUGGUACAACCCGUUCAAAUUUUGAUACAAUAAACCAAACUGAAGGUGUAGGAUAGCAAAUGUUUUUCUCUAGUUCCACUUAAUAACCAAAACUACAUCAUUCCAAUAUACCUGCCUCCAUUUGGUUUCUUGCUCUUUCCUAUCAUCCCCCAAUGAUUCUGAUCUCUCAAAACACCUCUCACACUUUCCUGUUUUACCCAUCAAGCCAAUACUCCCUCAUUCCUGAAAAAUUAGGCCCACCAGAGACCCAUUAGUAGUACUGGAGUUCAUGUAAGUCAUAAUUUUCUAGAUAUCAAAAAGUUGGUUUAGGGGUGAAGGGAAUUUUUCUUACCCCCUUCUGAAGGUUAGAUAAUUUGAAUCUAUAAACCAAACUGAUACUAGACAGAUUCACAGGAAAAAAAGCAUACAAAUUUAUGACAUGCAUGUACACAGGGAGCUACACAAAAUUUGGGACUCAAAGAAGGGCCUAAGAUUUUUAUAUGAUACAGAAAGAGAGCCCUGCAGCUCCUGGGGGCUGUGGCGACAGGUUAUAGAAGGGUAAAGGGAAGAAAUGCACUGUGAACAAGGGCUAUUGCUUCAUUGUGCAGAUAAAGCCUCUCAGGUAAUAGCCCUCAGAAAGAAUAGAUGGUAACCUGUGGUAAUAUUUUCUCUGUCAGACCUUUAAAAGUGUCAAACCUGUCUUUAGCCUCUUUUCCUGUGAGUUAAUCUUUCCUAGAUUCAGAUAAAAGGACCUCAGAGAAAGCAUCUGUCUGCAUUCCUUGUUUGCUUUAUUAAUACAUAGAUGUGAAUUUAUUUUACAAAAUGAUAGAUUUUCAGAGCCGCGCUUGUGUGUGCAGACCCUCUGAAUAGUCAUACCGAAAUAUGCCAAAGAGGCACAUUUUGGGGUGGCAUGUUUUGGUUUCCCACAGCCCCCUCUUUGAAAUUUAUGUCCAGAACGUUUUGCACUUUAAAAUAGGAUUGAUAAGGGUGGAAAAUUUAAGUUAGAUAUUUUGAGAUAAGACACCAGCAAAGGGAAGAAAAACGUCAAUUGGAAUAAGUAGAAAAUGUCUCAAUUUAGGAAGUGGUGUUUUAGGAUUCCCAGUUAGUUCACUACAUGGUAUAAACAAACAGGUUUUUAACAUGAGGUAUCUCUAAGGAAACAAAAGAAAAACAAAUAUUAGUAAUUGGAGCAGCAUAUAAGCUAGUUCUGAGUCCAGCAGUUGAAAAGAUUUCUAGAUUUGGCCUCAAAACAUCUUCAGUUGAAGUGGGGAUAGGCAGUGACAAUCUGACAGAUUUUAAAUUGUUACUGUGAUUUCUCUGGAGUUUAUCAAGUCAACCAGCUUCAGCUUUCAGGGCUUCAAGAAAAAGGCACAUUUAAUUUCAGUGAUUUCAAGUCAGGAAAAAAAUGGGAGAAAAAAGUGAAAAUGUUAGUUGGGCGAGUUGUAGCCAGACAUUAGAGGAAACUAAACAAUGUCAGAAUCCAGUCUAAAUCAUAGAUAAACAAAAUCUCAAAAAUAAUGAACAGACCUAGAAUUGAAUAACAGAUACAUUAUAGUUUUCUUUUAAAUCAUAGUAUUUCUCUCUCCUGUUCCCCACUUUUAACCAAAAAUAAUCACAGUAAAACUAAUUUAUUUGCAACAUAAGUUUUAGGCUUGUUAUAUUUUGCCUAAUAAUUCACAUAAGUACAGCAAAAUGAUGAUUAAUCAUAUAAGCUCAUUUUCAAUUUUACUUUGCUGGAACUUUUCACAAGGAAUCUCAGAUUAAGCAUUUGACAGCCUCUUGAGGCUGGGAAGCCAAUCCAAAAAGUUACCCUCAAACUGUGCCCGUAAUACUUUUCGACUUGGGUGAAUACUUCUCUUCUAAGUUCCCAAAAAUAUCUUCAAGUUCCAGGGCCUCUCAGGAAGUGUCAGUUUUUACUCACCUAUAAAGCAACCAUGUUAAUUAUUUAUCCAAGAUAUCAGGAUAGAUUUUCCAAGGGGUUUUAAUUGGCUUCAUAAAGUAAACUUUAAUCCCUUAGAGCAAUCUGGUCAUAGCUGAAAAGAGGACAUCUCAGGUAAAGCCUUGGAAAUAUAGCUAAUGUUUCCAAUUGUGUCCUGUUACAAAGAGAAUAGAUUCUUCUUGAAUGUAAGAAAAUAUAUUGCUUUUGAAAUAAAAACACAAAUAGCCUCCACACUCUGGAGGAAUCAGGUAGGUAGUAAAAAAGUUUCAAUUCUGCACACAAAAGUACACCUUCCUAUAUUCCUAUAAACUGUAGAUAGCUGAAAGAAAAAAAAUUUAAUGUGGAAAAUGAAAUAUAAAAUAAUAAGCCAUAUUUCAAACAAAAAAGUCAUAAAAUCAUAAUCUUUCAUUAUUUUGGUCCCAUGUAAUAAUUCUUAUCCUACUUGAUGUUGGGUUAGCAGUUUUAUGAGUCCAGUUUUUUCAUUAGAGUUCUGGAUUUCUUACUCUUACCCAAUCAAAUAUGAUCUCAAAAUCAUCAGAAUCCUAUUUUCAGUGGUGCUUGUCAGAGUCUUUUCUAUAAGUUUCAUUGAAGAAAAGCAAUUUGGGCCUAUAACUGAUUGCAAGGUGCUUUUAGAGAAGAAGCAAAACUACUGUCUAUCUAUGACAAAAACUUAUAAUAGUCAUGGUUAAAAACCUAAUGAGAAUUAAUAACAAGUCAUUGACAAGGAAACGUGUUUGUGGCAUAUAACUUCUUAACGUAUAACCAUAAUUAUUACUGAUAGUGUGCAACAAGACUAUAAAUUUCUAGAAAUUUUAUACAAUUUUGGAAUACAUGUGAAUAGCAUAUCUAUAAAAAUAUAACUCAGAGAAGGUUAAACAUCAUUUGCUAUUUGGAGUGCUUACCAUAUAACUUCACCUAUUAAAUAGGCCUAACUUGUUUAAUAUCCCACUUUUGUACUUUUAGGGGUCCUUCUGGAAUGCCCGAAAGUUAGUUUGAGAUCAAAAAGACUUAAUUUUGAUUUGGGGAAGGUUGUUAAAAACAAAGCUUCAAAGCAUUCCAUCAAAAAUAGGAUCACAGGUUACUGUGAAAUAGUAGUUAUUCAUUUAACCAGGAUGAUAAUUAAAAUACUUCAAAAGAAAAUACAGGAAGUAACAUAAUUAUAGAAAAAUUUUAACUAUUUAACACAGUUUUUCUAAGUAAUCAAAGACCUAAUAAUGACAGUAUAAAGCACAGGAAAUUAUUCUGAUAAAGUAUAAAAUAUCUACCAAUACUUUGUUUUUGAAAGAGAAAACCAAAUUUAGUUUUGUAUCAGUGUACUUCUUCUAUAAAAGCUCAUUUCUAAAACUUUUAUUUUUAUUCGCUUUUAGUCAAUAUUUUCUCACCUAUUUUCUCUCACUCUCUUUUCCAAACUCUCUAUGAACUGUCAUUCAGCUUUUUAUAUAUGAUUUCUUCAUUCUGAAACAGCCUUUAGAUAACCUUUAAACUAAAAGAAUUAUUUUUUCUUCAACAACAACAAAAAAAUCCCCGGGCCUUCCUUAUAACUUUUCUCACCAAAACACAUCCUAGCUUCCUUGUACGCUUACAUACAGAAUUGUUUCUCUUAUCUCUAGUAGUUUUAAUUACAUAUCUUAAUUAGAAUUUUAAUUCUUAGUUAUCUUAUUUUCCAGUGAAAAUCUGAGAAGAAAGCAAUCUUGAACUGUCAUGUACCAACACAUGUUAUCAAUACAGAUUUCAUAAUUUCUAGAAACAUAAGCUUUCUCAUAAAAUAAUUUUUCAAUAUGGAUCAGGGUAUAUUUACUAGCUGACCCAAAUAUAUUUAGUUCUCUUGUAAUAAGAAGUCAAAGUAAAUAAGCUUAAAUGUGUGGUUAUGUCUUAUUUGGAAAUGAUCUAAAUAUUUAAUGAAUAUUCAUUAUCUAAUUUAGUUUAACAAUACUUUAAGGAUGUAGUUACCUAAAAGAUUUGAGAAACCUUUAAAAGUACAUAUUAUAAAAGAUAAUUAUUGUUAAAAAGUAAAUUUAUGAAGUUUUAUCCCACUUACAUCUAUUUAAUUUACUUACUUUAAAACCAACAGCAUCAAACUAGUUCUAUUUGUGAAAGAUUUACCCAAGUCACAUGAACUUGAAUAAGCUUUGAGUUUCUUACUAUAUUUCUAGCAUUUUAAAAGUAUUUAAUUUAUGAGGAGUAAUUUAUCUUUAAGCCAAUUUGGAACUCUUCCAAGGAAUUUUAUCUCAUGUAGAUAUAAUUUAACCAUACACGUACACAUGUAUAAACAUAUACAAACAUACAAAUAUGAUACAAACAAAAAUAUUACAGUUUUUAUUUUAAAACUUUAUAACAGUACAAUAAUAUAAAACUCACCAAUUUAUAAAGCAUUAACCAAGUUAACACUAUCUGUUUACAUGAUCAAAACCCUUUAUCAAUAUUAAUAGAAAAGGCCUUCAAGAUUUUUCAUUUCCUUUGAAUUUUUAAAUAACUUUUUUUUUUCCUGAGGAUAUAUUUCCAUUUUAGCUUAGGAGAGAUGACAAAGAAAUUCUUAUAAUGCUCUGAAUAUGAACUAGAGUUCUAAACCAAAGGUAUGUCUACAAGAGACUCAACAUCAAAAAUAAUUCUCAUGACCUAAAUUAAUGAGCCUUUUAAUGGCUUUAACCAAGUGUCUAACAUUAGAGCAAAGAUGCAGGCUGUUGAAAAUCCAAAGCCAUUCCCAAAAGAAAGGCAGUCAAAAAGAAAGAAAAGCUUUGCUAGCCAAAAAUGAGGUACAACCCACAUUUUUGUCCAGCUAUAUUUGUGGGGCUGUCAACCUUUUGGUAGGCCACCCACACAUGAAGGCCUGGUAACCUGUGUGCCCUCAAUAGACAAAAAGUUUAAAAGAGACAACAGUUGGUAAGACAAACAGGAAAACAAAAGCCAUUCAUCCGAGGGAAAAGGAUCAUUAUCAAAUGAGUGCCCCAAAAGUCAACAGUUACACAAAUUCAAAACAAAUAAUUCAAAUUCUUAUAAACUAAUUCUUACAAAUAUUCAUCUCCUGAUCUAAAGAAAUUUGCUGAAAAACAUGGAGGUGGAUUCAGAGAAGGGAAGUUUUAAAAUCUGGAGCCCAGAGAUCCAAAAGAUUUUCUCAUUUAAAAAUAUUUCAACUUUAUUCUAAAAUUAAUUUUUAUUAUUUUAAUAUUGCCACAGGAGUCUUUAAGGUUAACAGUUAUAUUUACUUAUGUCUCUUCUUUUUUUAAAAUUUGAUCUUUUUGUAGCUACAAAUAGUUAAGAUGAGAGUUUUUCUAAAUAUAGCCAAUUUAUUACAAAAGUGAUUCAAAACAACAAAAGACCACGUUUAUAGACAUGUUUUCACCAGCAAAUCUAAAUUUGAAAGAAAAAGAGACAAACAUGACUUUUACCACUCUUACUCAACUGGGCAUUAAAGGCAGAGAUCUGGGAUUACUGACCUUGGUAAAAAUUCUUACCUUUCUCUGUUGGCUUUUUUGUCAGUCAUCCCAGGGUCCCAUUUACAGGCUCCAAAAUGAGCAGAGUGAUUUGUUCUCCUGGCUGGACUCACCAAACUGUUAGGGAUAAAGGGAAAUUUUCUCCCUCCUCUUUCUGAAGGUUCAAUAAUUUGGGUCCAUAAAACAAACUGCCAAGAGGCAGAUUAACAGGAUAAAAAUGCAUGCAAAUUUAUUACAUGCACAUGAGCAUGAGAGUCACACAAAAUAUGAGACUCAUGAAACAGCCAGAUGGCUGAUGUUUUUAUAUUGUACAGGAAGAAUAGAGGCUUGGAGGUCCUGGGGGCUGUCAUGACAGGUUAUGGGAGGACGAGGGGAGGAAAUGCACUGUGAACAAAGACUGUUGUUUCAUUGUACAGAUAGUCUCUCAGGCAAUAGCUCACAGAAAGAAUCGAUGGUAACCUAUAGUAAUAGUUUCUCUGUCAGACCUUUAAAAGUGUCAGACCUUUCUUUAAUUUCUUUUUCCUGUGAUUUAAUCUUUCCUAGUGUUGGAAAUAGAUGGUCGGUGCCACAAAGAAAAAUUAGCACUGAGACAAAGGAUCUUUCAUCAACGCAAUUUUUACUUCCUGGACUACAGGAAGGGUACCCUUGCUAGCCAUCAUGCCACCAGAGUACAAUGAACAAAGGAAAAACAGACAAAUUUAUCCCUUAGGUAUUUGGGGUCGUCCUUACUGCUGAGUCUGAUCUCUGUUGGCUGGAACCAGACCUCACAAUCUAAACUAAAACCUGAUUGCUAACAACUUUAAACUUUCCUAAACAGGUCAAAGCAAUGGAGAGCUGGAACAUGCCUGUGAGCACAUUCAGCACAGAUAAGUUCAAGGACUUAGAAUGCACUACAUGCCUAUAAGUAUGGCAUGUCUAACAACUACAUAGGAAAGAGCUUAGCAAAGCAUUAUUAGCACACUUAAUGAUUUAUUUUUUUUAACAAGAAAAGAAACUUUAAAAAUGAACUUUUCUACUUCCCACACCUAGGUUUAGAAAAAAAGGACCUCAGAAAAAGCCUCUGCCUGCAAAUUUUGUUUUCUUUAUUAAUAUAGAUAGAUGUAAAUUUGUUUUACAAAAGGAUAGAUUCUUCAGAACUAUGCUUGUGUCUGCAGCCCCUCUGAAUAGCCAUCUCGAAAUAUGCCAAAGAGGUACACUUUGGAGUGGUGUGUUUGGUUUCCUACAUUGAUCAGGUGGAACAAUAUACCAGCUAGCAGAGAUCUUUUGAUCUCCUGAGAGACAGGCCAUGUAAAUAAACUCUGCUAAGUGUGAUUAGUGCUCAGAGGAUAUGUUUCUUCUUCCUGGGGCAGCUGAGGAAUAUUACAUGCAGAGAUGAUGUUGCGUUGAACCUUGAAGGAUAAGAGGGAGUAUUCCCAUGAAAGGAGGCAUUUUAGGUGAAAUAAGCAGUAUGUUAAAAGGAAUAGAGGAAUGCAACAAUACGACCCACUGAGAGAAAAGAAGCUAGGUGUGAUUGGAAGGAAGAAUCCUGAAAGAUCAGGGGUAGAUACUGGCGGGGCAGCUAUUAAAGGCAUUUGAACAGGAGCAUGACAUCCUCACAUUGGAAGCAAUGUGGAAUUCAAAUUAGCUUUAGUACCCAGUUCAGAUAAAAGUCCAUUGCCAUAUUCACAGUGAGGUAAAACAAAGGCAGAGUCAGAGAGAUUAAGAGGCUGGGAAAGAUUCAAGAGAUUUUUAGGAAUCACAAUCCACAUCAGUUGAUGACAAGUACAGAAGGGCAGAAUAGCAAGGAGAGGAAGUACAGAAAGGCAGAAUAGCAAGGGGAGAAA